AUUGAACGCUGGCGGCAGGCCUAACACAUGCAAGUAGAGCGAGCGGAGGAGGGGUGAGUAAUGUAUGGGGACUGCCCGAUAGAGGGGGAUAACUACUGGAACCGGUGGCUCAUACCGCAUACUUCCGGCGGACCCAUAUGGGAUUAGCUAGUAGGUAAGGUAAUGGUUUACCUAGGCGACGAUCCCUAGCUGGUCUGAGAGGAUGAUCAGCCACACUGGGACUGUGACACGGCCCAGACUCCUACGGAGGCAGCAGUGGGGAAUAUUGCACAAUGGGCGCAAGCCUGAUGCAGCCAUGCCGCGUGUAUGAAGAAGGCCCUAGGGUUGUAAAGUACUUUCAGUCGGGAGGCGUUACCGACAGAAGAAGCACCGGCUAACUCCGUGCCAGCAGCCGCGGUAAUAC
rnacentral:rRNA from 1 species